rnacentral:lncRNA from 1 species
ACUUUCGACUUUAGCAAUUAAGAUGGAGAAGAUUGAAGGAUUAAGAGCUGCAACAACUACACAUCUCAUAUAAAAAAUCAGAAAAUUAGAAUAGAUGAAAACCAAUUGGUGAACCAAAAACAAAACCAAAAUGAGAAAGAGAGAUUCAUACCAUUCACAUCAAACCCAUCAAAUCUAAAUGCUUUCUUCAUUGGUGCUCUGGAGAAAGAGCAUAUAUAAUCAAAGAAAUUCCAUUAGGAUCCAAAAAUUAGAGAUAGUAAACAGAUCAUACCUAAAAUGCUUUCUUCAUUGAACCAAAAAGAGCCGAAAUUGAAGCAAAAAUUCCAUCAGGAACCAAAAAUUAGAGACAAACAGAGAGAGAUUUGUACCACUGACAUCUUGAUGCUCAGCAAAAAGACGAUUCAUUUAAGCAAAAAAUUUGAAAGGAACUGCUGUCACUAGCUGACCCAUGAAUUUUUUAGGGGAGGUGCAAUUUUGAAAGAGUAAAAGCCUUUAUAAAAAUAAAUUAAAUAUAAACAAAUCAUAAUUGAUCAUAUCACGAGUCGUGCGUUGUAGAGCCUCUUCUUCAUCGAGUUUGCUACUGAAUACUUAUCAUGAGAGCCAAAUUAGAAA